CACAAUUUCUUAGUUUAUUAUUCCAGAAAAUCAAAGGAAGCGCCCGGAAAUUUGGCAGAACCGUUUGACAAGCAAAAUUGCGGCAUAUUUAAUUUAGGCAAAUUUUGACUCUGCUGCAAUUAUUAUAGUGCGUAGCUUUCGUGAGAAGAGGUGCCAUUUAUUUUAUAUACAAUUAGUACCAAGAGUUCAAUAGAACUUUCAACAUCCAGAAUUCAAGUCGAACUUCGGAGUAUCAUCGGUAUCAGAUUAAUUUUGAUAUAUAUAUAUCAUCAUCAUCAUCAUCAUCAUGGCAAGAGUACUUCUCAUCAGCUGCUUAUUACUGCUUAUGAUAUUUGUUUCACAUAUUGCAUUUGCGGAUGACUUAAGAAAAGGAAAAGUGGCUGCUAAACUGUUUGGGGAAAACUUACCGGAUCAGGUGAAGUCUCUGCCGUGAAUGAUCACAACUAAGGGAAAAUGCCACAUGGAAAGGGAAGAAAUGUAAGACAAGAAAAGCAGAACCAAAUAAUCAGAAACUUUUCCAUUUAAGAGCCAUUUGUAUGGAGGGUUUUAGAUAUGAGGUUCUCAUAUUUGAUUGAAGAUUUUAUUUUGGUUUAUUUUAAUAAGAAUGUGUUGAAAACAUUGCGUUUCUUUUUUAGUUAUACGUUUUGUUUUGUUCUUCUGCUAAUUGGGACUCUGUUAUCUGGAAA